rnacentral:rRNA from 1 species
AGAGUUUGAUUCUGGCUCAGGACGAACGCUGGCGGCGUGCUUAACACAUGCAAGUCGAACGAUGAAGCCUAGCUUGCUAGGUGGAUUAGUGGCGAACGGGUGAGUAAUACGUGAGUAACCUACCUUUAACUCUGGGAUAAGCCUGGGAAACUGGGUCUAAUACCGGAUACGACCAAUCUCCGCAUGGGGUGUUGGUGGAAAGCGUUAUGUAGUGGUUAUAGAUGGGCUCACGGCCUAUCAGCUUGUUGGUGAGGUAACGGCUCACCAAGGCGACGACGGGUAGCCGGCCUGAGAGGGUGACCGGCCACACUGGGACUGAGACACGGCCCAGACUCCUACGGGAGGCAGCAGUGGGGAAUAUUGCACAAUGGGCGCAAGCCUGAUGCAGCGACGCCGCGUGAGGGAUGACGGCCUUCGGGUUGUAAACCUCUGUUAGCAGGGAAGAAGAGAGAUUGACGGUACCUGCAGAGAAAGCGCCGGCUAACUACGUGCCAGCAGCCGCGGUAAUACGUAGGGCGCGAGCGUUGUCCGGAAUUAUUGGGCGUAAAGAGCUUGUAGGCGGUUUGUCGCGUCUGCUGUGAAAGGCCGGGGCUUAACCCCGUGUAUUGCAGUGGGUACGGGCAGACUAGAGUGCAGUAGGGGAGACUGGAAUUCCUGGUGUAGCGGUGGAAUGCGCAGAUAUCAGGAGGAACACCGAUGGCGAAGGCAGGUCUCUGGGCUGUAACUGACGCUGAGAAGCGAAAGCAUGGGGAGCGAACAGGAUUAGAUACCCUGGUAGUCCAUGCCGUAAACGUUGGGCACUAGGUGUGGGGGACAUUCCACGUUUUCCGCGCCGUAGCUAACGCAUUAAGUGCCCCGCCUGGGGAGUACGGCCGCAAGGCUA